AGUGAACGCUGGCGGUAGGCCUAACACAUGCAAGUCGAACGGCAGCACAGGAGAGCUUGCUCUCUAGGUGGCGAGUGGCGGACGGGUGAGGAAUACAUCGGAAUCUGCCCAGUCGUGGGGGAUAACGUAGGGAAACUUACGCUAAUACCGCAUACGACCUUCGGGUGAAAGAGGGGGAUCGCAAGACCUCUCGCGAUUGGAUGAGCCGAUGUCGGAUUAGCUAGUUAGCGGGGUAAUGGCCCACCAAGGCGACGAUCCGUAGCUGGUCUGAGAGGAUGAUCAGCCACACUGGAACUGAGACACGGUCCAGACUCCUACGGGAGGCAGCAGUGGGGAAUAUUGGUCAAUGGGCGCAAGCCUGAUCCAGCCAUACCGCGUGGGUGAAGAAGGCCUUCGGGUUGUAAAGCCCUUUUGUUGGGAAAGAAAUCUUUCAGGCUAAUACCCUGGGAGGAUGACGGUACCCAAAGAAUAAGCACCGGCGAACUUCG
rnacentral:rRNA from 1 species